GACGAACGCUGGCGGCGUGCUUAACACAUGCAAGUCGUACGGUAAGGCCCUUUCGGGGGUCCACGAGUGGCGAACGGGAGAGUAACACGUGAGUAACCUGCCCACAACUUUGGGAUAACGCUAGGAAACUGGUGCUAAUACUGUAUAUGUGCUUCUGCUGCAUGGUGGGGGUUGGAAAGCUCCGGCGGUUGUUGAUGGAGUCGCGGCCUAUCAGCUUGUUGGUGGGGUAGUGACCUACCAAGGCGGCGACGGGUAGCCGGACUGAGGUGCUGACCGGCCACAUUGAAACUGAGAGGAUGCCCAAGCGCCGCCACGAGACAGCAGGUGAGAAGAUUUCACAAUGGGCGCAAGCCGGAUGCAGAAACUCCGCUGGCGGGAUGACGGCCUUCGGGUUGAAAACCUCUUUCAGCAGGGACGAACCUUUUUGUAACGGUACCUGCACAAGAAUCACCGGCUAACUACGUG
rnacentral:rRNA from 1 species